GUCGGGAUAGCUCAGCUGGUAGAGCANAGGACUGAAAAUC
rnacentral:tRNA from 3 species